rnacentral:rRNA from 1 species
CAUGGUUGUCGUCAGCUCGUGUCGUGAGAUGUUGGUUAAGUCCCGCAACGAGCGCAACCCUUAUUGUUAGUUGCCAUCAUUAAGUUGGGCACUCUAACGAGACUGCCGGUGACAAACCGGAGGAAGGUGGGGAUGACGUCAAGUCCUCAUGGCCCUUAUGGGUAGGGCUUCACACGUCAUACAAUGGUCGGUACAGAGGGUUGCCAACCCGCGAGGGGGAGCUAAUCCCACAAAGCCGAUCGUAGUCCGGAUCGCAGUCUGCAACUCGACUGCGUGAAGUCGGAAUCGCUAGUAAUCGUGGAUCAGCAUGUCACGGUGAAUACGUUCCCGGGUCUU